CCUACGGGUGGCAGCAGUGGGGAAUAUUGCACAAUGGGGGAAACCCUGAUGCAGCGACGCCGCGUGAGUGAAGAAGUAUUUCGGUAUGUAAAGCUCUAUCAGCAGGAACGAGACAAGACGGUACCUGACUAAGAAGCCCCGGCUAACUACGUGCCAGCAGCCGCGGUAAUACGUAGGGGGCAAGCGUUAUCCGGAAUCACUGGGUGUAGAGGGAGCGUAGACGGCUGAGCAAGCCUGAAGUGAAAGGGGGGGGCCCAACCCCCGGACUGCUUUGGGAACUGUACGGCUGGAGUGCAGGAGAGGUAAGUGGAAUUCCUAGUGUAGCGGUGAAAUGCGUAGAUAUUAGGAGGAACACCAGUGGCGAAGGCGGCUUACUGGACUGUAACUGACGUUGAGGCUCGAAAGCGUGGGGAGCAAACAGGAUUAGAUACCCUGGUAGUC
rnacentral:rRNA from 1 species